rnacentral:rRNA from 1 species
AUUGAACGCUGGCGGCAUGCCUUACACAUGCAAGUCGAACGGUAACAGGCCGCAAGGUGCUGACGAGUGGCGAACGGGUGAGUAAUGCAUCGGAACGUGCCCAGUCGUGGGGGAUAACGCAGCGAAAGCUGUGCUAAUACCGCAUACGAUCUAUGGAUGAAAGCGGGGGACCGUAAGGCCUCGCGCGAUUGGAGCGGCCGAUGUCAGAUUAGGUAGUUGGUGGGGUAAAGGCCUACCAAGCCGACGAUCUGUAGCUGGUCUGAGAGGACGACCAGCCACACUGGGACUGAGACACGGCCAAGACUCCUACGGGAGGCAGCAGUGGGGAAUUUUGGACAAUGGGCGCAAGCCUGAUCCAGCAAUGCCGCGUGCAGGAAGAAGGCCUUCGGGUUGUAAACUGCUUUUGUACGGAACGAAACGGUCUGGGUUAAUACCCUGGGCUAAUGACGGUACCGUAAGAAUAAGCACCGGCUAACUACGUGCCAGCCGCCGCGGUAACAC